rnacentral:piRNA from 1 species
UAAUGUGUGUGCAUACAUGCCUUCAUCU